rnacentral:rRNA from 1 species
UAACAUCUGGAAACAGGUGCUAAUACCGCAUAACAACGAAAACCACAUGGUUUCGUUUCAAAGAUGGUUUUGGCUAUCACUUCAGGAUGGGCCCGCGGUGCAUUAGCUAGUUGGUAAGGUAACGGCUUACCAAGGCGAUGAUGCAUAGCCGAGUUGAGAGACUGAUCGGCCACAAUGGAACUGAGACACGGUCCAUACUCCUACGGGAGGCAGCAGCG